rnacentral:sRNA from 1 species
AUUGAUUCUAAUAGCAAUUAAACCCAGGAGAGUCUCUCCUUGCGUCUGAAACAGUCCAGAAACGUCCGUUAACUAUUCAAUCGCUCCGGUGAAAUCCUAGCUGCAGACGUCACAAAGCUGCCCACAAAAUCUCGUCUCGAUCGAAAAACAGACGAGACCACGAUCUCAGUUUCAAUCUCCGCUGGUCCUAAUUCGCGUCUGAGAAAACGUGUCUCACGAAACUUUUACCACGGUUUGAUAUGACGAAACUGAUUUCUCCCAAACCCUAACGAUUCUGCUCAUUCUCCUUUUCUCUCUUUUUCUCCUUUACAAAACGAAAAGUGGCUAACUAAAGCCCUAAUUUCGAGUUUCCUUCUUUUAUAGGCAUACUCUAGGGUUUCCAAUUAACCCAACCAAUUAAACCGGAUGAUUUAAAAACAAACCCUAACUGAUUUUCCGGUUCACGGCCGUUACACAUCCACUCUAUAAGAAUUAUCAAACCCCAGGCCUCGACAGAUCCUCUCUGCUCUGUUCCCUCCAGCAUGAGUUUCGAACAAUGCAAGCAGGUCUGUUUUAUAAUUCUUCAACAUAAAUCGAAUUGCUCUUCGAAAAUUGGGUUUAUUCGCCCCCCCUGCAGUUCCAGAAUAGACAAUCCAUUAAAAAUUGUAGAGUUAAAUACCAAACUACCGGGGAAAAACGUCAUGCCAUUCCCUCACUGGAAUUCCC